CCCUUAGAUGUUCUGGGCUGCACGCGCGCUACACUGAUGCGUUCAACGAGUGUACACCUUACUCGAGAGGGUUGGAUAAUCUUUUGAAAACGCAUCGUGAUGGGGAUAGAUUAUUGUAAUUAUUAAUCUUCAACGAGGAAUUCCUAGUAAGGGCCAAUCAUCAGUUGGUCCUGAUUACGUCCCUGCCCUUUGUACACACCGCCCGUCGCUCCUACCGAUUGAAUGUUCCGAUGAAUACCAUGGACUGAGAGUAUGAAUGGGUUCGCCUAUUUCUGCUUCUCGGGAAGUGGAGUAAAUCUUAACAUUUAGAGGAAGGAGAAGUCGUAACA
rnacentral:rRNA from 1 species